GCGAACACAGUCCACAAGAGGAGUUGGCUACGGGAAGUCCCGUGUCCUAUAAUGCGAGACAAACUUGUGACGUAGAUACGGAAAUCAACUGCCUACAAGCUGAAGAACCCAUGCGGUUGCAAGGAAGGCGCCUCAGCCCAGGACAGAGAGCAGCGCAACUCGCGGAAACAGCAUCUUCACUGCCGGAACCAGAAAGAAAAUUGCUGGCCACUAGAUGUCGCGGGUCAACGGCCAAAGAGCAGCAGAAGAUCCUGUGACCGGGUUGUUGCGUCGAAACUCCAACAGUCAAAUAAAUAAAAAUUUGUAACUUUCCAGAGUAAUGACGUUACAGAAUGUUUA